CCUACGGGUGGCAGCAGUGAGGAAUAUUGGUCAAUGGGCGGAAGCCUGAACCAGCCAAGUCGCGUGAGGGAAGACGGUCCUAUGGAUUGUAAACCUCUUUUGUCGGGGAGCAAAAGACGCCACGUGUGGCGUUCCGAGAGUACCCGAAGAAAAAGCAUCGGCUAACUCCGUGCCAGCAGCGGCGGUAAUACGGAGGAUGCGAGCGUUAUCCGGAUUUAUUGGGUUUAAAGGGUGCGCAGGCGGAAGAGCAAGUCAGCGGUAAAAUUGAGGGGCUCAACCUGUUCGAGCCGUUGAAACUGGUUGUCUUGAGUGAGCGAGAAGUAUGCGGAAUGCGUGGUGUAGCGGUGAAAUGCAUAGAUAUCACGCAGAACUCCGAUUGCGGAGGCAGCAUACCGGCGCUCAACUGACGCUCAUGCACGAAAGUGUGGGUAUCAAACAGGAUUAGAUACCCUUGUAGUC
rnacentral:rRNA from 1 species